UUUACUAGCACAGCAAAGCCAAUCUUCUUUUAUUUUUCAGGAAGCAUCAGGCAGCUGCUUAGAGCAAUAACUUACACGAGUUUCACUUUCCUUGUGCUCCAAGUGGCGUUUCAGAUUGCCUUCUACUAUCUGCUACCUAAUGGCAGCAGAUGGGAGGUCCUGCUCUGUCAUUUUGGACUUCUGAGGCUCAGCAGAGUUGAUGCUGGAAAUAUCUUUCGCCUACUGGUACCUGAUAUUGGAAUGUUUUUCUCCAGUAUCGUGGCUACACGGCUUUAUUCGAAACUGGGGAAUGCUCAGAAUUGCAAAAUGCAGCUUUGUUCUGAAGAUGAGGAACAGAAUGAAGAAGAGGGUUAUGAAACAGAAACAGAAGACAGUUACGAAGAGGAGUCUUCCUCUGAAGAUAAUUCAGGGAAAAAGGCAGGUUUUAAAAAGCCAGCUUUUGUUCAGAAAGCCAUUGUCUUCCUUGCUGGCUUGAAAAGUAUAAUUGAUGUCAUGCUGAGACAUGCUGG
rnacentral:lncRNA from 1 species